GCCAGCCACACUGUUCUGGAGUGGAGACAUCUAGUUGAGGGAGAACAAGAGGACGGCGCCGAGGGGACAGGUCCGCAGCGGAAAAAGGUGGACCCAGGCUCGCAACCCCUGUGUGUUGGCUGCAUCAGUUCGAGCCAGGUGAUGAAGUGUGGGUAAACGAUUGGGCACGACGCAGCUACAACCGUGCUGGAACCUUAUAUCGUCCUGCUCUCCACACCCACCGCCGUGAAAUUCGCCGGCAUCACCCUUUGGGUCCACCACACCAGAGUGACCACUACAGAUUGGACUGUGCAGUUAAAUCCUGAUUAACCCCUUCGGCUGACCAUCAGCAGACCCUCCGCAGACGACCGCUCUGCUGAUAUCACACUGGAAGCUGAUAUCUCAACGCACAGCUGAAAAAUUGGAUGGGAGGGGCGCCCGCGGGCAGCGUCCCCAACGUAGAAACUUGCUCUCCAGCAAAUUCCGAGGCACCAAUCGGACUUUUGGUAUUGGGUCCGGAACCCCUUGAUAUAGUCACCCCAAGUGUCAGGCCAUUGCAGGGGUGGACAUAUUCCUGUGGGUGCAUGCUGAUAUAUGAAGAGGGAGGAGCCCCUUUUGGGUAUAAUAUCUUGAAGAGACAACACGAGAGCCCAGUCCACCCACAAGGGAUUGUAGGGAAAUUGCUCCAUAUAGUAGGUGCCUCAGCAGAGAAGUGGAGAGGCACCCCUGAGGCCCGGCAAAUAAUUGAAUACGAAUAUCAGUGGGCCCUUCAGCUGUAAAAGAAAACUAGAAAUGACCCCCGAAUAUUGGUGGGAGGAACCAUGGAGAUAUUGGGUUUGGUGGGUAGGAGUGAUAUGUACCGCCCUUGUCAUAUGGAUGCUCUCGUAUUUCUGUUGGCAUGAACGGUAUCGUAUUUGUGGGAAGAAUAGGCCCAAUAAUGCUUCUAUUGCUUUUCUGCUUCUGUAUACCCUGCUUAAUGCAAUGCCUGCAACAUAUGAUG